rnacentral:tRNA from 1 species
GGGUCGGUACCGAAGUGGUCAAACGGGCCAGACUGUAAAUCUGGUGCCUCAUGGCUUCGGGGGUUCGAAUCCCUCCCGGCCCACCA